rnacentral:snRNA from 1 species
UUACCACUCUGGCCUUUUGGCUUAGAUCAAGUGUAGUAUCUGUUCUUGAAAGCAUAAUAGCUUUUAUCUGGGUACCGCCUAGGGUUUUAAAGUCCAGUCACAACUGGACUUUUU